AUUUUCAGCAAAGGAUUGUCAUAUUUUCAAGAUGAACAAAUCUGUACUGUUGAUUGUUUUGCCAUGUUUGGUUGCCUUGGUAACUGUCAGCGCCCAGUGGGGAGGAGCAGGAUAUAACCAGUACUACCACCAACAGCUCGGCGCAUACAAUGCACAGAACAGACUGUACAAUUACGGAAACCAAGUUACUGCACAAGUCAAAAAUGCAAAACUCCUCAACUACCUGUUCGGAUUCCUCCUUCUUCUCCAAUUCACCAACGCCACCGGAAAUAACAACGGAUAAACAAAACUCUUAGUUUAAAGAUUACUCGAAAUACGGCUGAGGUGUAUCAUUGGACUCCUGGAUUGUGAUAUUUCAAAAAGCGGUCACUGCAUCAAAUCACAUUGUUGAAAUAAAAAAGUCUCACAUAAAA